GUAUGUUUGCCCCUGUCACUUCUAAUGUUUGAAUAUGCCUUGAGUCUUUUUCCUUGACAAUCGAAUUGUCAGUGCUUCAGCUCACCAUAUGUGAGCCACCUUGGUACUUGUGCACCAUCUACCUGAAUCACAUUUGUGUCAUCAUAGACAUCCUGUAACUUGGUGGUUACAAAGAUGUCACAUGAGUUGGUACAGGUGUUUUGUAACAGCCAACUCACAGAGUUAAUGUUGUUAGCAAAAUAUUUCUGAGUUGAAUAUAUUCAGUAAUGGAAGAAAUUUUUUGGUUUACAGUAGAGAAGGGGCAGUUCCACUGCUUGAGAAGUGUGUUAAUGCACAACCCAGAUUACUGUUUUUAGCAUUUCAAUUUUUUAUUGGUCAAAUGAAUGAUUAAUGUAAAACAAGUUGCAGAAGCAGUUAACUCAUUCCACAACUAAGUAAAAAACUUGAUUAUGAUCAGCUACCAGCACAGAAUUGUAAGAAUACGAGAGGUAGUUCCUAGUGAACUGAGCAACUUUAUAUCAGUCAUGGAGUCCAGUGAGAUUAAGCAAAGCUUCCUGCAGUUGAAACGCUUCCUCAGAGAGAAGGAAAAAGACUGCUGCAGAAAAGAGAAACGUCACUACACAAGAGUCCAUGCCCUCAUGUUGGCUUUGCAAAAAAGAACUGGGAGGCCUGGCAGACACCAAGUUGACUGUGAGUCAGCAAUGUGUCCUUGUGAUGAAACCAGUCAACAGCACAAGAGAAUGACUCAGAAAAAAGACUGCCAGCAGGUAAAGGGAGGCUUUCCUGUCCCUCUGCUCAGCACUGGUGGGACCACAGAUGGAAUGCUCUGUCUGGCUAUGGGCUUUCCAUUACAAAAGAGAUGGGGAUGUACAGGAGCAGGACCAGAGAAGAUGAUUAAAGUGUCUGUCAUGAGAGGAGAGGCUUAGAGACAUAGGACUUGUUACCCUGGAGAGGAAAAAGUGCAGGGGCAUCUUAUCUGUGCACAUAACCUUCUUGAUGAGAGGGUAACAAAAAGAUAGAGCUAGACUUUCUCCUGUGAACAGGCAAGAGAGAAGGAACACAACCUGAAAUAUCAGAAAUUACAUUUAAACAUAAGAAAAUACAUUUUCUUUUGGAUAGGGAGGUAAAUCCACAUUGCCCAAAGAAUCUGUGGUGUCUCCAUCCUUGGAAAUAUUCAAAACUCAGAAGGACAUGAUUCCAAGUAACCUGCUGUAGCUGACUCUGAUUGAAAGAGGGAGCUUGGAGUAGAAAAUCAGCAGAUGUCACUUCCAGUCUCAGCUGUUCUCUGCUUGCAUAUUAUAUCUAGAGGAAGAUCUCAAGGGAGAUGGAGAGAGCAGGGUUAUUACACAUUAAUGUGCAAAGUACAGUGAUGUGGAUGAAGGACUUGGAAUGAGAAUGUACGGCAUAUUUCACAGAGAAGUAUUGUUUCCAUGCUGAACAGAGAGAAAAGUUGCCUCAUAGUGGCUGACCCUUGGAUGUCUCUUUGUGCUUGCUGGAGGGGUGCAAUUUGAACCACUAGGUGUGGAAGGUUUCAGAUUUUGUCUUGUUAUCUACUAAGCCUUAUUUCUGGUACUGCACAGAAGUCUGUUAGAGAGAAAGGGUCUCAGUUCUUCAGAAAAACCUUUUGGAAGGCUGUGACAAAAAUGCCAGUUGCAACAAGGACAUUUUUGAGGCUUAUUUAUUGUUGUCUUUUUUCAUGAAAAUCUUUUGGAGCAUUUUGAUAUUGUUAAAAACAG
ensembl:lncRNA